rnacentral:rRNA from 1 species
GAUGAACGCUGGCGGCGUGCCUAAUACAUGCAAGUCGAGCGAACAGACGAGGAGCUUGCUCCUCUGACGUUAGCGGCGGACGGGUGAGUAACACGUGGAUAACCUACCUAUAAGACUGGGAUAACUUCGGGAAACCGGAGCUAAUACCGGAUAAUAUAUUGAACCGCAUGGUUCAAUAGUGAAAGACGGUUUUGCCGUCACUUAUAGAUGGAUCCGCGCCGCAUUAGCUAGUUGGUAAGGUAACGGCUUACCAAGGCAACGAUGCGUAGCCGACCUGAGAGGGUGAUCGGCCACACUGGAACUGAGACACGGUCCAGACUCCUACGGGAGGCAGCAGUAGGGAAUCUUCCGCAAUGGGCGAAAGCUUGGCGGAGCAACGCCGCGUGAGUGAUGAAGGUCUUCGGAUCGUAAAACUCUGUUAUUAGGGAAGAACAAAUGUGUAAGUAACUAUGCACGUCUUGACGGUACCUAAUCAGAAAGCCACGGCUAACUACGUG